GAAAGGAGCAGAGAGGAAGAGAAAGGCAGAGAGGAAAGGAGCAGAGAGGAAGAGAAAGGCAGAGAGGAGAGGAGCAGAGAGGAGAGGAGCAGAGAGGAAGAGAAAGGCAGAGAGGAAAGGAGCAGAGAGGAAGAGAAAGGCAGAGAGGAAGAGAAAGGCAGAGAGGAAGAGAAAGGCAGAGAGGAAGAGAAAGGCAGAGAGGAAGAGAAAGGCAGAGAGGAGCAGAGAGGAAGAGAAAGGCAGAGAGGAGCAGAGAGGAAGAGAAAGGCAGAGAAAGGCAGAGAGGAGCAGAGAGGAAGAGAAAGGCAGAGAGGAGCAGAGAGGAAGAGAAAGGCAGAGAGGAGCAGAGAGGAAGAGAAAGGCAGAGAGGAGCAGAGAGGAAGAGAAAGACAGAGAGGAGAGUGGGAGCCAGGUUCAUGGGAGGUAAAUAAAUAAUCCAGAGGUGAAAAUGAAAUGUAAAUCACGAGACGGCUGCAAACACCCCCAUCCCACAUGAGAACUAUUUAUAGAUGGAUACAGCAUGAUCAAGAGAGAGCGAGGGACUGAGGGAGAGAGCAAGAAAGAGAGAAAGGGAAAGAGGGAGAGAUACAUGAGGGAAAGAGUGAGAGAGAGACCAAGUGAAAGUGAGAGGGGGCACAGCGCAGAUAAUUCAGUAAUUGACACGGAGACAUGGACAAGGAAAGAGAGCUUUCUAUCUGUUUCCUUAAUUCAACCUCAGAGAAGAGGGGGAUGAGAGCAGAGAAUGGGCACCGAGAAGAGAGGGAGAGAAUGAGUGAGGGAGGGAGGAGACAGUGAUUCAUCCUCUUGGAGACCAGCCUUGUAUGAAAACUGCACUUUAACGGCCUAUUUACUGUGGGGACACAGACACACACACACACACACACACACACACACACACACACACACACACACACACACACACACACACAC
ensembl:lncRNA